rnacentral:misc_RNA from 1 species
AUGGGAAAAAUAUCAGAGCCCUAUGUUGUUUGGAUUAAAGAUAUUGAAAUAAACACAACAACAACAACAACAACAGCAGCAGCAGCAGCAGCAGCAACAACAGCUGCAGCUGCAGCAGCAGCAGCAGCAGCAGUUGAAGCAACUGCUACUGCUGCGUGCAGCAUUGAGCCUACCCAUGCCACAAACAUGAUUUGUGAUGCAAAAGAAGAACAGCAGCAACAGCAGCAGCAGCAACAGCAACUGCAGCAACAGCAACAGCAACCUGAACUGCAGCAGCAGCAAUCACUGGAACAGCAGCAGCAGCAGCAGCUGGAAGCUGAGCCGGAUGAGAAAUGUACACAAAGUAUACACAAUAAUGGCGACAGGCGCGAUUCGAUCAGCGAUGACAACACAAUCAACAGCAGCACAUUAAACAGCAAACUAUUGACCAUACAGGAGGCCGCCGGCACCAUCGAGCGCAGCAGCAUUUCGCUAGCCACAGCCUUGACUACGGCACAGACCACUUCCGUUUCCGUUUGCACAGCAUCCGUCAUCUGUCAUGAGGCGCUCAGCAGCGUCAGCGGCGGCGGCGGCGGUGGCGUCGCCAGCAUCAGCAGCAGCAGCAGCAGCAGUAACAGCGGCAGCCAUCACAACGUAGCGCCCGGCAGCAGCAUACACAGCAGUCCACAGGCGAACACGCCCAGCAUAAGCAUCGCUGCAGCCGAGUCCAAGGACCAAUCGCAGCCGGCGCAAUCGCAUAGCGUUGAUUCGAAUGGUCAGCCGAGCGGCUCCUGCACGGACAGUCCCAGCAGUCGCAAGAGCUCAACUAGCUCCAAGGGCAAACCAGCCAAGUUAUCCACGUCGAGCAGUGGACGCGAUGAGGAUGCACAGGGCAAACUAAGCGAAUCCGCGAGCACCGACAGCGUUCUAUUACGCGGAGAUAACAACAGCACCACAUCUAAUGAGAAGCCCAGCAAGGGCACUUCCCGACUCUCCGAGCGCGCCAAGAAGAAGUCCUGGUACAACGUCAUCUAUCCGAAUUAUAAAUCACGCGCCGAGGACUUCAAAAAACUGUUCAAAGAUGUGCCCAACGAUGAGCGUCUAAUUGUGGACUACUCGUGCGCGCUGCAACGGGAUAUAUUGGUGCAGGGUCGUUUGUACGUGUCCCAGAAUUAUGUGUGUUUCCAUGCGAACAUCUUUAGCUGGGAAACGUAUGUGAGCAUCAAAUGGAAGGAUGUGACAGCAAUUACGAAAGAGAAAACAGCGCUCGUGAUACCGAAUGCGAUUACAAUAUCUACCGCCAGGGAGAAGUAUUUUUUUGCGACAUUCGCGUCGCGUGACAAGUCGUAUUUGAUGCUCUUUCGUGUCUGGCAGAACACAUUGUUGAACAAACAGUUCUCACAGCAGGAGAUCUGGCGUUACGUGCACAAUUGCUACGGCGAUGAAUUGGGCCUGACCACAGACGAUGAGGACUAUAUAGAUCCCACGCUGGACGCGGCCGAUACAGAAACCGAUGGUGACUUUCAAACGGCCCUUGACGAUCUCGGCGGCGAUCAGAGCAAUUCCAGUCAGUGCACCAACAAUUCGGGCCAGCAGCAGCAGCAGCAGCAGCUGCAGCAACAGAGCGGCAACAGCAGCGCCAGCAGCGGCGGCGGCAGCGCAGCAGCUGUACGCAAAUCGAAGACGAAAUAUUUCUUUAACUCAAGCAAAUCGUCAAAUUUAAACUCAUCGGCCAACGCAUCGGCCAGUGGCUCGGAUAAUAAAGCCAGCGACAAUACGCGUAAAUCAAAUAAGAAAAUGAAGGCCAAUGCCAAAGAGCUGACACUCAGCUCCGUCAAGGCAACGGAGCAAUCGGUGGCCGUCACACUCAGCGUGCCCAGCACCAACAGCGGCCCAACCACCGCCACCAACACCAACAGCAACAGCAACACCACCAAUACAAACACCACCAGCAGCAGCACCACAGCCACUGCCACCACCACCAGCAGCAGCAGCAACAACAACAACAACAGCAGCAGCAACAGCAGCUCAGCGAUGGCCACCACAACGGCAACAACCACUACAGCCAGUGGUGGCAUUGUCGGUGGUGCUGGCGGCGACAGAAGAGCCGAAAAGAUCAACAGCAGCAGUGCGGCAAACGCAACUGCAGCCGAACCCCAGAGUCAUGGCUCCGAUGUCAAGCGCAAAGUUGGCAAAAAUCAGCGACAACGCGAUGAUUUGGCGGCCAAAAAUGCCGAGGCUGGGCCCACAGAUGUCUCGGACUCUUCCGAUUCCGAGGAGAACAAUGUGCCCUUUGUGCCGAGUACGGAGUGCACAUCGACGCACGAGGGCCGCCAAAUAGUGCACACAAUUCUGCCCAUACGCGUGGAUACUCUGUUCAAUUUUCUGUUCUCAAAGUCGAAAUUCCUAACGGACUUUCACGAGCUGCGCAAAUCGACCGAUCUGUCCAUGGGCGAGUGGCAUAAAAAUGAUGAGGGCCAGAAUGUGCGGCUGGUAAACGUGACCGUGCAACUGGCCGCCUCGGUGGGCCCAAAAACCUCAAAGGUCACCGAAUAUCAAACGAUGCGCGAGUGCAGCAAGCCGGGUGAACUGUAUUCGAUAGACGUGAACAGCGUCAACGCGGGCAUACCAUAUGCGGACAGUUUCAGUGUGCUCAUACACUUCUGUCUGGCGCGCACUGUGGAUGAUCAUACGAUGUUGUCGGUGCAUGCGCAAAUCAAAUAUAAAAAGUCCAUUUGGGGCGUUGUCAAGGGCUUCAUUGAGAAGAAUACGUGGGCGGGCCUGGAGGAUUUCUUUGGUGCGCAGCUGCAUGCGCUGCAGAGCGAGACCUGCAUACCGCCGGCCAAGGGCAAGGGCAGGCGUCCCAGACGUGGUACCUCCACACAAGCGCGCCCCAUGGAGGAAGCAGCCGGCGGCGCCGCACAGAGUGGCCUGGCCGAAUCGCUAGACAAUUGGGAGACAAAAAUGUUGUCCGCUGGCGGCGUUGGCGCUGGCACCGCGGCUGGCCUACUGGCACAUGGCGCUGCUGGUGGCGGCGGUGGGGCCGGCAGCCGACAGCAGCAGCUGUUGCUGGCCGCGCAGCAGCAGCAGCAACAGUUGCUGGCGGGCGGCCAUCAGCUGGGCCAGGGCCAGGACAGAUUCAGACACAGGAGCCUGUCGCUGUUCGUUAUAUUGUUAAUGUGCUUGCUGCUGGCAUUAAAUGUGAUAUUAUUACUUAAGCUCUGGAAGCUGGAGGAACACAUUGACGUCGAUCUCAGCCGGCGCGCCCGCAUGCCCAGUUUGGCAGCCCUCAAAGAACUACCCAAUACGAAUCAAGAUUGGCUGGAAUUGUUGCGCCAGCAGGAGCUAUCGCAUGAAUCUGAGCUACGCAAAUGGCAUCAGGUGCUCCAAACGGCCAUUGAGCUGCUGAAAAAGACUGAAAAGACUUUGGCUGAAGUCAUGAUACCCUAGGCAGCCCUUUCAGCACAAGAAUCCACAACUCACAAGCCAACCCCCCCCCCCCCUUCCCCUCCCUGCACCCCUCUGCAACAACAACAACAACAACAACAACAAAUAUAAACACAACAAUAGUUAGUUCCUGUUGUUAAUUCCGAACACACAGCCACCAAAAAAUUGAAAUUGAAUUUCGAAAUGUAGUCACAAAACUAGCGAAAAAACUUUGUGUUAUAUUGCACGCAAAUUAUGAAAUGUGCGUAAAAUUCCCCCCCAAAAUAAUUCGAUAAAAGAUAAAUAAUUC